rnacentral:rRNA from 1 species
UUGAUCUUGACACUAUUCACAUGGAUAACUGUGGUAAUUCUAGAGCCAAUACAUGCACUAAAGCCCCGACCUUGCGGAAAGGGCGCAUUUAUUGGAGCAAAACCAGGCGACUUCGGUCGUUGUUGCUGACUCAGAAUAACUAAGCUGAUCGCACGGUCUCGUACCGGCGACGUGUCUUUUGAGCAUCUGCCUUAUCAAUUUUCGAUGGUAGUGUAUCUGACUACCAUGGUUUUGACGGGUAACGGAGAAUAAGGGUUCGACUCCGGAGAAGGGGCCUGAGAAAUGGCCACUACGUCUAAGGAUGGCAGCAGGCGCGCAAAUUACCCACUCUCAGAAUGAGGAGGUAGUGACGAGAAAUAACGAGGCCGUUCUCUAUGAGGCCGGUUAUCGGAAUGGGUACAAUCUAAACCCUUUAACGAGUAUCUAUGAGAGGGCAAGUCUGGUGCCAGCAGCCGCGGUAAUUCCAGCUCUCAAAAUGCAUAGAAUCAUUGCUGCGGUUAAAAAGCUCGUAGUUGAAUCUAGGCCAGAGGCCUGGUCCACUCCUUGAGUGCGUACUAGGUUCUUUGGCUUUUCGUCGGUUUUCUUGUCGUCGCCUUUAUUGGUGGCGGCAAGUGGCUGACAAUUUUACUUUGAACAAAUCAGAGUGCUCAAAACAGGCGUUUCGCUUGUAUGCUUUUGCAUGGAAUAAUAGAAUAUGACUUCGGUCUAGUUUUAUUGGUUUUAUAGAUCGUUGUAAUGAUUAAAAGAGACAAACGGGGGCAUUCGUAUUGUUGCGUGAGAGGUGAAAUUCUUGGACCGCAGCAAGACGACCUACAGCGAAAGCAUUUGCCAAGAAUG